ACUCAAAGGAAUAGACGGGGGCCCGCACAAGCGGUGGAGCAUGUGGUUUAAUUCGACGCAACGCGAAGAACCUUACCAAGGCUUGACAUGGGGAAGACCGUACGAGAGAUCGUACUUCUCUAGCAAUAGAGCUUCCCACACAGGUGCUGCAUGGCUGUCGUCAGCUCGUGUCGUGAGAUGUUGGGUUAAGUCCCGCAACGAGCGCAACCCUCGUUUCUAGUUGCCAUCAUUCAGUUGGGCCCUCUAGAGAGACUGCCGCGAAUAACGCGGAGGAAGGUGGGGACGACGUCAAGUCAUCAUGGCCCUUACGUCUUGGGCUACACACGUGCUACAAUGGACGUUACAAAGGGCUGCAAGAGCGCAAGCUGGAGCCAAUCCCUAAAAGCGUCCUCAGUUCAGAUUGAGGUCUGCAACUCGACCUCAUGAAGGUGGAAUCGCUAGUAAUCGUGGAUCAGAACGCCACGGUGAAUACGUUCCCGGGCCUUGCACACACCGCCCGU
rnacentral:rRNA from 1 species